ensembl:rRNA 5S_rRNA 5S ribosomal RNA
ACUUGCAGCCAUACCACCCUGAGCACGCCUGAACUCGUCUGAUCUCGGAAGCUAAGCAGGGUCGGGCCUGGUUAGUACUUAGAAGGGACACCGCCUGGGAAUCCCAAGUACUGUAAGCU